GGCUCAGGAUGAACGCUGGCGGCGUGCCUAAUACAUGCAAGUCGAACGCACAGCGAAAGGUGCUUGCACCUUUCAAGUGAGUGGCGAACGGGUGAGUAACACGUGGACAACCUGCCUCAAGGCUGGGGAUAACAUUUGGAAACAGAUGCUAAUACCGAAUAAAACUUAGUGUCGCAUGACACAAAGUUAAAAGGCGCUUCGGCGUCACCUAGAGAUGGAUCCGCGGUGCAUUAGUUAGUUGGUGGGGUAAAGGCCUACCAAGACAAUGAUGCAUAGCCGAGUUGAGAGACUGAUCGGCCACAUUGGGACUGAGACACGGCCCAAACUCCUACGGGAGGCUGCAGUAGGGAAUCUUCCACAAUGGGCGAAAGCCUGAUGGAGCAACGCCGCGUGUGUGAUGAAGGCUUUCGGGUCGUAAAGCACUGUUGUAUGGGAAGAACAGCUAGAAUAGGAAAUGAUUUUAGUUUGACGGUACCAUACCAGAAAGGGACGGCUAAAUACGUGCCAGCAGCCGCGGUAAUACGUAUGUCCCGAGCGUUAUCCGGAUUUAUUGGGCGUAAAGCGAGCGCAGACGGUUUAUUAAGUCUGAUGUGAAAGCCCGGAGCUCAACUCCGGAAUGGCAUUGGAAACUGGUUAACUUGAGUGCAGUAGAGGUAAGUGGAACUCCAUGUGUAGCGGUGGAAUGCGUAGAUAUAUGGAAGAACACCAGUGGCGAAGGCGGCUUACUGGACUGCAACUGACGUGNG
rnacentral:rRNA from 1 species